AUUAGUUAAUUUAGUUAUUUCUUUAUUUUCAGUGAAGAUCGCCUUUGCCACAUGCAAGGCAAGUCAACGCUCAAGCAGCCACAAUGCUAUAGAAAUUAAUUGUUUUACUUUUAGAUUUGAGUUAAUUUGGUAAGUACUUUAUUUAUUGUUAUUUUUUGGAUUUUAAUUAAAUUUCUUUAUAUUUUUAUUUUCAGGUAAGUCAGAUUAUUAAUCGGGAUAUCAGGUAAGUAAUUAUUGGUUCAUUCGUAGUAUUUUCAGUGAUUGAUAUGAUUAAUUUACUUUCAGGUAUGUGUGUUUCAUCUUUUGUUUAAAUUGGUCUUUGCAUUAUGGAGCUGCAGUUUAGAGCUGUUAUUAGUCAUAAAUAUUUUAAUAAGUGAAUUUGUUAUUUCAAUUAGUUUGUCUAGUUUAGUUUCUAGCCUUGAUUCGUUAUUUAAGUUAAUAAAUUUUGUAAUUUGAUCUAA